rnacentral:lncRNA from 1 species
UUGUCGUUUCCAACCAGUUCGGCCUUACGGCUUUCAAUUUCCGCCAACACGCUGGAACAUGCUCCAUGAAGCAAGGAAACUUUUUCACCCAAAGCAGCAAUUUCUGAGUCUGUUCCUGUUCCUAUUGACUUGAAAAAGGUAUCAAUACUGGUGGAUACAGUGUUGACCUGUUCUUGCCAUGAUGCCAAGUGCUUGCUUACAUUCUCUUCGAGAUGGCUAACAUCUGCCACAAACUGAUCAAGGUUUCGCGAGAGAGAACCACAAAUUUCCGUAAUGUUUCCAGCAUUUGAAUUUUCAUGCAAGUUGACGUUGGACAAGGCAGCACUCAAGCGUGAAAAGAUUUCCUGAGAAGGGGAAAAAAUAUUCAGAAACAGUCAGUGGCAGUCUGGCAGAGAAACCUUUGAAAGUAUACCAUAGUAAGGUGUUAAAAGGUUCUUAAGUACCUUGUCUACAAAAUUCCUUUUGCUACCUUGAGGCCAGCCAGACAAAUUAGUACCAGUUUGCUUCGCACAUGAUUCCAUAUUUGCCUUCAGAUGAUGCAGAAACUCUUCAUUCAUGGUGAAGAUAUCAGCUAGGCAACUGUUUGUACCUGCGACUAUUUUCCUCAGAGUGUUCACAUUAGUUCCAACGGACAGCACCUGAUCACAUAGCUUCUUCUUUUCUUCAAUGUUGACCAUUGACAAAUUUUCACAACGUGAUAUGGCUUCAACUGUUGCAGCCUCCGCUGCAUCCUUCUCUCUGGAAAGUUGCUCAAUUUCAUAGGUACAUUUUGAUAGCUCCUCUUGCAUACUAUCGUUUCUCUCUUGAACCUCGUUCACCUCAGCAAGUAGCAACUCAGCUGCUCUUCUAGAUUUUAUUGAUUCCUGCUCAGCAGAAGACACAGCAGUACUCAUAUUCUGAAACAGUUGCGAGAUCCGUUGAAGCUUCAGAACAGGGUCAUAUCUGUCACCUUCAUCACCAAUAUUAAUGUGAUUCAACGCGUUCAACGUCAUGCUCAACGUAUCACUUCUUUCCUGCAGAAUAUUUUCUGUUUCUUGCAAAUGAUUUCUCAGCAAUUGGCACUCAGACUCUAGGGCUUCUACCCUCACAGUGUAAGAUUCCAACUCCCUAAAUUUCUUUUCAUUUUCCAAAAGCAUUUCGUCUCGUUUGAUAACCUCUGAUUUUAGGCGACCAUGCUCAUCGUUCAUCUCCUCAAUAGUUUGUUUCAGGCUAUCCCUUUGUUGGACCAAAGCUUUCCCUUUCCUAACAGCUACAUUUAACUUCUCUCUUGCAGAAGCUGACUUCUGCUCUUCUUGUUUAAGGAACUCCUGCAGUUCUAUGAUUUUCUUAUCAAGUGCCUCAUUUUCAGCAAUCAAGGAUUGCUGUUUUUCCAUGUACAAAUCCUUUUCUUCCCUCACCAGCUUCUGAACACGCAGUGCUUCAUCCAGAUCUUUUGUUAGGGAAGCUACAUCAGGCGACUCUACCACUGUUAUGUCUCUACUUGCUGCUUCGACUAUAUUUUCAGGAUGGUGCCCAUGAGAAGUUGCUUCAUGUGUACCCAAUGACUCUCCGCUUCUAACAUCAGCAUUUGAUGAACGAGUUUCACAGAAGCUAUCAUCUCUUUCACGUGGCAAACUAGAUUUAACCAAGUUCUUAUAAUAGUCUAUCAGCUUUCUCAGAAGUACAUCCAAGGUCUCAGAAUUACUUGCUACAGCCAAAUCCUGCAAGCCAUCUUCCUCUAUAACAUCAGUAAUCGUGUCUCUCAAACUCAAUAGGUCUCCUUCAAGAGUCUGAAGUUGUUCUUCAUUCCCAAGUUUCUCAACCAAUUUUCCAUGCAGAUCUUUAACUUGAUUCUUCAGUUCCUCAUUCUCAACUUCAAGGUAAGUGGCCCUCGCAGAAAGAUUAUCUUGAUGCCCAUUCAGAGUUUCAAAUCUUUCAGAAAGAUUUAUCCUCUCAUUAUCAACAGAUCGAAGAUUUGCCUCGACAUCACUUACUUGCUUUUGUGAGACUUCCAAAUCAGCAGUUAGUGAUUGACAAUAGACUUCAAGGUUAUCAAUCUUCUGCUGGAGAGUAUACUUCUCAUGUGCAGCCUCUGAUAUUGUACUUGCAAGCCACUCGAUCUUGUUUUCCACUUCCAUGGACUUCAGCUGUAGAGGCAUAUCAAUAUUCCCUAGGAGCGCUUCCCAUCUCUGAAUUAAAUUAUUCCUGUGCAUCAAGGACUGCUCCAGCAUUUCAUUAUGUUCAGCCAAUCCAUAAAACUUCCCUUGGAGUUCCUCGAAUUUGAUCCUUAAGUUAUUCUCAGAACUUGUGCCAGUUUGACCAUCCUCCCUGCAGGGUUCAGAGGGAACAUAUCCAGCACCUCCAUCAGAACCCUUCUGAUCCCAAUCAGAGGGGCGUAAAGAGCUGCCGUUAGCUGAUCUUGCUAGCCACUCCACCUUGUCGAGUAUAUCUCGAGCAUGAAAAUGCUCUGGGAGAUCCAAAUCUUCCAAAAUGUCUUCAAUUCUGUGGAGGAGAGAGUCUUUGAGAAGAAAGGAUUCUCGAAGUGCAGUAGCUGAGUUUCGGAUGUAAGAAAGCUCAGAUUCUAAUGCCUCCACACGUUCACCUGCCUCUGUAUAAGUCUUAAGCUUUACUUCUACUUCCUUAAGCUUUGUGUCCUUCAAACUCAGUUCCUCUGAGCACCUCUGAAGUUCAGCAGAGGUUUCGGCCAACAACUGCUUGAGAUUGUCACGGUUAACAAUCAGACCUUUUCCUUUUGCAACAGCUAUGCUAAGCUUCUCUCUAGUAGAUAAUAACCUCUGUUCUGAUUGUUCAAGUUCAUUAGAUCUCUUUUGUAACUCAGAUCGUAGGGCCACAAGGGACUCCUCUGCAUCGUCAUGUGUAACUCCCUUCUCGGUAUCUGCAGGGUCAGACGUCAAAGAAUCUACUGUGCCAGCCGCUCCAAUGUCGAUACUCUUCACAUUCUCUUCUUCCGUGGACAAUGCUACGCUGAUAUCAUUUUCAGAAUUUGCUACUUCUUUUCUCGGUUCAUCUCCACUAUCAGAAGUUGCUGUGGUGUUUCCUGGCUGAAGCGUGUCAACUGAAACAUCACUGUUAGCUGCUGCAUUUACAGAAGUCGGUGGAGGAUCAACAACCUCCUCACCAAUAUCCACAUGAGAUGAAGCUCCUCCUACAGCCACAUCAGACGGAGCUUCUGCCUCUCGUUUCCAACCAGUUCGGCCUUACGGCUUUCAAUUUCCGCCAACACGCUGGAACAUGCUCCAUGAAGCAAGGAAACUUUUUCACCCAAAGCAGCAAUUUCUGAGUCUGUUCCUGUUCCUAUUGACUUGAAAAAGGUAUCAAUACUGGUGGAUACAGUGUUGACCUGUUCUUGCCAUGAUGCCAAGUGCUUGCUUACAUUCUCUUCGAGAUGGCUAACAUCUGCCACAAACUGAUCAAGGUUUCGCGAGAGAGAACCACAAAUUUCCGUAAUGUUUCCAGCAUUUGAAUUUUCAUGCAAGUUGACGUUGGACAAGGCAGCACUCAAGCGUGAAAAGAUUUCCUGAGAAGGGGAAAAAAU